rnacentral:sRNA from 1 species
AAGACAGGAAUUCAGUCUAAGAAUAUCAUGUCCUGUCAUAACGACUGGAUGAACAGCAUCGUGCUGG